rnacentral:lncRNA from 1 species
GGGCAUUCUGAGUUUCAGAUAUUCUGCUAGCAGUGAACAAGAAUGGGGAAGUCCCUGUCUUUAUGAAAUUUACAUUUGAGAGUUUGCGUGUGUGAAUGAGGAGAACACCAAUCAAUAUACAAAUAAACAUACAAAUAAAACAGUAAAUAAAGCUAACAUGAUAGAGUAACUAGGGGCAUAUUUAAAACAGGAUGGUCAGAAACAGCCUCCAAGGAAGUGACAUUUGGAAACAGACCUGAAGGAUAAGGAACGAGCUAUACAUUUGGCAGACACUGAGACGAGCAUGUGCAAAAGCCCUGAGGUAAGACAGACCAAGAACAAAAAGGAGGCCGGCAUGUACACGACACGGGGAGUGUGGGGAGAUGAUCUAAGACAAUGCUGGAGAGGCAGGCGGAAGCCAGUUACACACAGCCCUUGGGUGCCAUCAGCAGGAGUUGGAAUUUUAUUCAAAGUACAAAGGAAAAUCACUCAUGCGGGAGUAUCACUAGCAGGGGAAUGAAAUGAUCUGGGAUGUUUUUCUUUUCUUUGUUUUUUUUGGCGGUGGGGGGUUGGGGGAUGUUUUCCAAAGGUCAGUCUGGCUCCAUGGUGGAGAGCGGAUGGUAGAAUUAUAAGAAAAACAGAGUUGACUUCCUAGGCUCAAGUGAUCCUCCCACCUUGGUCUCCCAAAGUGUUGAGAUUACAGGCAUGAACCACUGCCCUUGGACAAGGCAGGGUUUUAACAAACUUAAUCUAUCAGCAAAACAGAUGACUGUUCAAGUUUCAAGAAACUGAAGAAGAAAGCACCUACUGGCUGUCCAUGCAGUCAUGUGUACAGGAGGAUGAGGACUUUGAGACGAGAGGCGGUAGACAAGGGGGCCUUAGGGUAGCUCACUGCUAGUCAUCUCCUUACCGCCUCCACUCCCAGCUAUUCCUCUCUCAACCUUCAAUUUCACCUCCUUUCUUCCCUCAUUCUAAGCAGAUAACCUGGCUCAUCUCAUUCCCUGAAACCCUUCCUAUAGACCCACUUGCAUCUGCAACCAUCUCUUCCUUCCUUCUUUUAUCCACUGGAAAGUUAAUCUCCCCCAAGGGCCCUGGAUCCCACUUCCUCCUCUCUUCUCUUGACCCUAGCUCCAUCAACUGCUAUCUCUCUUUCAUGUACCUGCAACGUUUCCCUCCCUUUUUGCUGCUUUUCCUCAGCAAUUUUUUUUUUUUUUUUGAGACAGAGUCUCACUCUGUCGCCCAGCUGGGAGUGCAGCGGUGUGAUCUCGGCUCACUGCAACCUCUGCAUCCCAGGUUCAAGCAAUUCUCCUGCCUCGGCCUCCUGAACAGCUGGAACUACAAGCACGCGCCACCACGCCCAGUUACUUUUUGUAUUUUUAGUACAGACAGGGUUUCACCAUGUUGAUUAGGCUGGUCUUGAACUCCUGACCUCAGGUGAUCCACUGGCCUUGGCCUCCCAAAGUGCUGGGAUUAUAGGCGUGAACCACCACACCCACCUUAAUGACUUUCUGAUGCCCUCAGGAAAAAGGCAAAACUCUUUUCAUAUCAAGUGCAAGAUCCUUCACACUCUGGUUCUUAUCUGUGGUCUCAUUUCUCCUUUCCUCACACUCUGACCAAACCAGACUGAACAACCUGUAAUUCGUCAAACAUAUCAGGUGAGGCGUGAGUGUUCUAUUCGGCUCCAGGUUCUGUGCAUGCUGUUCCCUCCUGGCAUGGUUCCUGCCACCUCUCCCCCAAAUACAGGUAAUCUCCUCAGGUCACAGCCUCUUUGACAUCUUAUUUAUUUUUUUUGAGAUGGAGUCUCGCUCUGUCGCCCAGGCUGGAGUGCAGUGGUGCGAUCUCAGCUCACUGCAAGCUCUGCCUCCUGGGUUGAUGCCAUUCUCCUGCC